rnacentral:tRNA from 1 species
GAGGUUGUGGCUCAGCGGUAGAGCACUCACCUUGCACGUGUGAGGCCCUGGGUUCAAUUCUCAGCACCACA